UACGAAGGGUGCAAGCGUUACCCGGAAUUACUGGGCGUAAAGCGUGCGUAGGCGGUGAGUUAAGUCUGAUGUGAAAUCCCCGGGCUCAACCUGGGAAUGGCAUUGGAUACUGGCUCGCUAGAGUGCGGUAGAGGGUGGUGGAAUUCCCGGUGUAGCAGUGAAAUGCGUAGAGAUCGGGAGGAACAUCUGUGGCGAAGGCGGCCACCUGGACCAACACUGACACUGAGGCACGAAAGCGUGGGGAGCAAACAGG
rnacentral:rRNA from 1 species